CGAUAUUCUCAUCAGCUUUCAAUGCUUUUGAAGGAUGGAUGCGUUACCUUCAACUACUUCAAACAGAAAUUGAAACAAACCAAGUUUCAAGUUUAGUCCCUUGUUUUCUUAUUUGGAAUGGGAGGUCUUCCCAGCGGAGUUAGAGUGAUGAAUGCACACAUACGUGCAAGACAGUAAGGCUGCUCCUGCACCUGAAGAGUUUGGAGACUGGGAACAAGGUCCUGCGGUUACUGCGUGUGCAUGAAGAUGGUUUUGCAGUGCCUUGGCCUGAGAGCGGGUCUGCAGCCCCAGCUGGGGUUCAACAGGGCAUGUGUUGUUGCCUGCCUUUUUACAUCUGGGAAUAAGCCAGUCGCUUGUUAACAGUACCUAGCAAGUGGGAGAAGAAAAGUGGCAUUAAACCCAACUCUGGCAAGGAGAAAAAUCAAAUGGAAAAUAUGCAUUUUUAAUAUGCCACUGGGUAAGUAUAUAAGAGCAGAACAACAUUCGUUGUAACCUGAUAUCCCUCAGGAAUGAGGGAAAAGCUGACUGCUUGCUCCACUGAGCCAAAAAAUAAGAAAACAUGUAAGUGCAAGUGUGUAGUCAGCAGCAUAAGGAAUAAUGCUUCAGAAAGCCGAGAGCAAAGCUGGAGCGUUGAAUGGUAAAAGGCUACAGUUUUACAUAGAAACACAACCUCUUAUUUGUAACCUAUUUGUAUCAUAGUCUUCAAUAUCCUAAAGAAAGUCCCGAUCCUUCCGCAUUUACCCAGCCACCAGAUGGCUGUUUUGGCAGAAUCUAAGAAAAUAUUGCAUGUUAAGCUAUCUUCUGAUUUCUUGCUGGAAACUAAACAGAUUUUGGAUGUCAAUAUGUAAUUCAUUAGAAUAACCCAAACCUAUUUCCUAGGCCGGAUGCAUUGUUUUCAGAGGUCUGCUUGUUUAAUGUACUAUCAAGCCCCUUAGAGCAACACCGCAGUUGCAUUUCAUUUGAGCGUCACCCCGCAUAUACGAGAGGUUUGAAAAAGCGACCCUGCGUGGCCUUCAGGCACCCAGCGGAGUGCAUUUUCGGCAUGGCAUGCGGAGAAUUAGGCACCCAGCUCCUGUGGCUGAUGGGAUUGGCACGGCUCCUCAUCCGGACCAUGCUGGGGCUGUACCGCUGCCCGUCCAGCUGCGAGUUCCGUGCCGCUGGGAAUAACUGGUGAGUGAAGGGCCACGGCCCCUGGGAUGUGAGUACAGCAGAUUAAUGCCUGCACAUCCCUGGGGAAAGGGCAGAGGUGCCGUGAGGUAAAGCCCUGCGCAUCAAAAAUGCCCGCCCCUAAGGAACUGAAAGUACCUGCAAUUAUUUGGAAGGAGGCUGUACCAGUGCCAGUGUCAUUUUCAGAAGACAAUGACGGCAAUUACAGUUGCGGGGAAUUGCAGUUGUUCUGUGAAGAGAAAUGAACAAGCUUACAAUUGCUUUCUGGGAAAUAAAAGAAAUCUUUAGAAUAUCCAAAUCAUCUGAUUUUUCUGCAACGCUUUUCUGGGUAGCAUUUGAAAGUGGAUUAGAAAGUAGUAAGUAUCUAGGCUGAUCCCUGGCUAUUGGAAUAAGAGAAAAAAGUUGCUCUUUUGGCUUUUCCCAGGGCAGCCUGGGCCUCCCCACUGUGCUCUGGGGUCUGCAGCAUGGCAAAGGUUUCUGCAGAGAUUCCUCCAGAAAUCAGACCGUUGCAAGUGAGGGGGGUGACGUGGCUUCUGACCCGGGGGGAGGCAUUACCUCCCCACCUUUCCUCGGCUGUAGGAGCAGGGUACCACUCGGCUGUAGGUCGGCAGCGUGGGGAGAUCAUGUAUAUUUUGUGCCCUUUGAGGAAUGCUUGUUUGCAGCUGAGUACCCAUGUCUUCUGCCCCUGGAAGAAGCGUCUCGUAUUCAUGUCACAUUCGACUUCAGUGGCGGUGGAACUGGGGCCCUGGAGAGGACUUCAGUACCCUGUAUCUGCAGCAAUGUCAUGAGAUACUCAACUCUUGCCUGGGAUUUUACUGCUCUGUGCAAUAUAGGCAUCCAGAAAGGAGUGUUGUUGAUGUUGUGGAUUGAGCUCAGGUCCCAUCAUCCUUCCCAUUUCCAUGUCAGACAAGUUCUACUGCUCUGUCUUACCCUGCCACCCACCCUACCGCUCCCUGCGCUGCCCGGGUGCAAGGCAGCACCUCUCCUCAUCCCCCAUUAAAACCAGCCCUGACAUCAGUGAAAUCAAAUGCCAAUGCUUUGGGGUAGUCAGAGCAACUUUGUAAUGGCAGUCCUUCUCCUCAGGGACAGAUCUAUUUUCUCCCUCGUAACACCCUGGCUUUUCUUCUCCCUAAAGGACUGAGCCCCUCACUUAAUGUACUGCAAGAGCAGGGUGCUGUGGAAGGGCACUCGGUCAGAAACCGGUGGCUGCAGCCGCGCUGGCUGCCUGCAAAGAGGCGAGCCGAGAAGACGGGUCGUGCCCAGAGGUGAUGCCUCCUCACGGCAGCUCUGUCACAGCGGGCAGCAAGCCCUGCCCCGUCUGGGGACCCUGACCCGUGCCCAUCGUGAUGCCCUGGCACCGUGCUGAGCAGCGGCCGGCCCCCCCGGCUUCUCCGAGGGUGUAAAAAAAGAGGUGGCCUUAAGGCUGUGGCAUGAAAAAUCCCUGGUACUUCACAAACCGUGCGCCUUGUGCUCUUUUUCUAGGUUAGCUAAAUUCCCCCCCUCAGUUUCAGAUGGAAGUGAAACUCUUUUACUUGCUGUUGAAACAAGUGAGGGGGGGAUAAUUUUGCAUGGCAACAUCUUUUUCUCAAACGGGUUAUUCGAUCAAGUAACUGCAACUCACAGGUUUCCAAUUGCUCCCCUAACUGCCCUCUGGCCUGUACCACGAAAGAAAUAAACACGUUCGGCUUUUUUUUUUUUUUUUCUUUCUUACAGAAGAACAUCUGUGACCCAUUAACGUCGGUCGGAUCCUGGGCUGCGAAGCCAGCUUUGGAGCCAGGCCUGAAGCACGGCUCGGGCAGAUCGGUCAUUCACUUCUCCAGGAGUUUGGCAUUGCUGUUCUCUAGUAUUUUAUCAGCAUGUUUAUUUUUGUUAUAGUAGCACUUCAGGACUUCAAAAAAGACCGACAGCAAUAUUUUACUGUGUGCAAGUAAGCUUUUAACAGUAGCGUUUCCAAUUUGGUUGUAUUUUGAAAUCGUUCUUAUUUUUGUGCUGUGUUUUUUCAAUGUCAGCAGGGCAUCUUCCUCCCUCAAAUGCGUCUGCACACACGUGGAACUGCUGCAUUCUUGACAGCUAAGGUUUUUUCUGACAUGCUGCAGUACUAAACUGAUUCUGUUGCUUUACACCUUUACCAGGCUUUAACCCUUUGGGCUAAAAUUUCCCGUGCCCGUUAUCUGCCUCCAACUGGUUUAUUUUCCCUACUUUUAGUUGUAGCGAAAAACAGGUCCGCUGGACUGAGGUGAAGUAAAACUACAUUU